GCCUUAAUAGUCUAACUGUGAUGACACCUGCCUGACAAGCAGGAGAUCCGGGUUCGAUUCCUGGCUGAGGUA
rnacentral:tRNA from 1 species